rnacentral:rRNA from 1 species
AAAUUGAAGAGUUUGAUCAUGGCUCAGAUUGAACGCUGGCGGCAGGCCUAACACAUGCAAGUCGAACGGUAACAGGAAGCAGCUUGCUGCUUCGCUGACGAGUGGCGGACGGGUGAGUAAUGUCUGGGAAACUGCCUGAUGGAGGGGGAUAACUACUGGAAACGGUGGCUAAUACCGCAUAACGUCGCAGGACCAAAGAGGGGGACCUUCGGGCCUCUUGCCAUCAGAUGUGCCCAGAUGGGAUUAGCUUGUUGGUGAGGUAACGGCUCACCAAGGCGACGAUCCCUAGCUGGUCUGAGAGGAUGACCAGCCACACUGGAACUGAGACACGGUCCAGACUCCUACGGGAGGCAGCAGUGGGGAAUAUUGCACAAUGGGCGCAAGCCUGAUGCAGCCAUGCCGCGUGUAUGAAGAAGGCCUUAGGGUUGUAAAGUACUUUCAGCGGGGAGGAAGGUGUUGUGGUUAAUAACC